rnacentral:rRNA from 1 species
UCCUGACUGACCGAUAGUGAACCAGUACCGUGAGGGAAAGGCGAAAAGAACCCCGGCGAGGGGAGUGAAAAAGAACCUGAAACCGUGUACGUACAAGCAGUGGGAGCACGCUUAGGCGUGUGACUGCGUACCUUUUGUAUAAUGGGUCAGCGACUUAUAUUCUGUAGCAAGGUUAACCGAAUAGGGGAGCCGAAGGGAAACCGAGUCUUAACUGGGCGUUAAGUUGCAGGGUAUAGACCCGAAACCCGGUGAUCUAGCCAUGGGCAGGUUGAAGGUUGGGUAACACUAACUGGAGGACCGAACCGACUAAUGUUGAAAAAUUAGCGGAUGACUUGUGGCUGGGGGUGAAAGGCCAAUCAAACCGGGAGAUAGCUGGUUCUCCCCGAAAGCUAUUUAGGUAGCGCCUCGUGAAUUCAUCUCCGGGGGUAGAGCACUGUUUCGGCAAGGGGGUCAUCCCGACUUACCGACCCGAUGCAAACUGCGAAUACCGGAGAAUGUUAUCACGGGAGACACACGGCGGGUGCUAACGUCCGUCGUGAAGAGGGAAACAACCCAGACCGCCAGCUAAGGUCCCAAAGUCAUGGUUAAGUGGGAAACGAUGUGGGAAGGCCCAGACAGCCAGGAUGUUGGCUUAGAAGCAGCCAUCAUUUAAAGAAAGCGUAAUAGCUCACUGGUCGAGUCGGCCUGCGCGGAAGAUGUAACGGGGCUAAACCAUGCACCGAAGCUGCGGCAGCGACGCUUAUGCGUUGUUGGGUAGGGGAGCGUUCUGUAAGCCUGCGAAGGUGUGCUGUGAGGCAUGCUGGAGGUAUCAGAAGUGCGAAUGCUGACAUAAGUAACGAUAAAGCGGGUGAAAAGCCCGCUCGCCGGAAGACCAAGGGUUCCUGUCCAACGUUAAUCGGGGCAGGGUGAGUCGACCCCUAAGGCGAGGCCGAAAGGCGUAGUCGAUGGGAAACAG